UCCUUCAUUCCACCGGAGU
rnacentral:ncRNA from 3 species